rnacentral:rRNA from 1 species
AUGAACGCUGGCGGCGUGCUUAACACAUGCAAGUCGAACGGAAAGGCCCAAGCUUGCCUGGUACUCGAGUGGCGAACGGGUGAGUAACACGUGGGUGAUCUGCCCUGCACUUCGGGAUAAGCCUGGGAAACUGGGUCUAAUACCGGAUAGGACCACAUUUUGGAUGGUGUGGUGGAAAGUUUUUCGGUGUGGGAUGAGCUCGCGGCCUAUCAGCUUGUUGGUGGGGUAAUGGCCUACCAAGGCGUCGACGGGUAGCCGGCCUGAGAGGGUGUACGGCCACAUUGGGACUGAGAUACGGCCCAGACUCCUACGGGAGGCAGCAGUGGGGAAUAUUGCACAAUGGGCGCAAGCCUGAUGCAGCGACGCCGCGUGGGGGAUGACGGCCUUCGGGUUGUAAACUCCUUUCGCUAGGGACGAAGCGUAUUUGUGACGGUACCUGGAGAAGAAGCACCGGCUAACUACGUGCCAGCAGCCGCGGUAAU